rnacentral:rRNA from 1 species
GAUGAACGUUGGCGGCGUGCCUAAUACAUGCAAGUCGAACGAAGACUGUAGUAAUACUGUCUUAGUGGCGAACGGGUGAGUAACGCGUGGGUGACCUGCCCCGAAGUGUGGGAUAACAGUCCGAAAGGAUUGCUAAUACUGCAUAAUAUCCAAGAGAUUAGAUGCUUUUGGAUUAAAGGAGUAAUUCGCUUCGGGAGGGGCCCGCGUCCCAUCAGCUAGUUGGUAAGGUAAUGGCUUACCAAGGCGAUGACGGGUAGGGGACCUGAGAGGGUGGCCCCCACAAUGGAACUGAAACACGGUCCAUACACCUACGGGUGGCAGCAGUAGGGAAUAUUAGUAAUGGGCGAAAGCCUGAACUAGCAACGCCGCGUGUGCGAAGAAGGCCUUCGGUCGUAAAGCACUUUUGUAGAGGAUGAGGAAGGACGGUACUCUCAGAAUAAGUCUCGGCUAACUACGUG